rnacentral:rRNA from 1 species
AUUGAACGCUGGCGGCAUGCCUUACACAUGCAAGUCGAACGGCAGCGCGGGAGCAAUCCUGGCGGCGAGUGGCGAACGGGUGAGUAAUAUAUCGGAACGUGCCCAGUAGUGGGGGAUAGCCCGGCGAAAGCCGGAUUAAUACCGCAUACGACCCUGAGGGUGAAAGCGGGGGAUCGCAAGACCUCGCGCUAUUGGAGCGGCCGAUAUCAGAUUAGCUAGUUGGUGGGGUAAAGGCCUACCAAGGCAACGAUCUGUAGUUGGUCUGAGAGGACGACCAGCCACACUGGGACUGAGACACGGCCCAGACUCCUACGGGAGGCAGCAGUGGGGAAUUUUGGGACAAUGGGCGCGAAGCCUGAUCCAGCAAUGCCGCGUGCAGGAAGAAGGCCUC